UACAGAGGUCUCAAGCGUUGUUCGGAUUCAUUGGGCGUAAAGGGUGCGUAGGCGGCGCGGUAAGUUAGAGGUGAAAGCCCGGGGCUCAACUCCGGAAUUGCCUUUAAGACUGCAUCGCUAGAAUUGUGGAGAGGUAAGUGGAAUUCCGAGUGUAGAGGUGAAAUUCGUAGAUAUUCGGAAGAACACCAGUGGCGAAGGCGACUUACUGGACACAUAUUGACGCUGAGGUGCGAAAGCGUGGGGAGCAAACAGG
rnacentral:rRNA from 1 species